AUGGAGGAGUGCGCUUGCCUCUGCAGCGUGGGCUCUUCGCGGGGAUGUCGGUGUCCUCAGAAGCGCCAGCGCCCAGUUGAGAUGGCAGCGGCCUACGGCAAGCGGGCCCCAGCAAAAAAGCACAUCGAGGGGGAUGUGGCAGCGUGGUGCUGUGCGGGGAGUGGAGGAAUUGUGAGCCCCAUGCCACCCCCGCACUGCUCGCUGCAGGACCUGCCGGUGGAGAUGCUGGUGGAGAUCUUCGCCUGGGUUCCUGGCACCCACCUGCCCAGACUGUUCCAGGCCUGCACCAAAUUCCACCACAUCCUGCACAUCGACAGCAUCUGGAGAAGGCGCUGCCACGAGGAGUUUGGCGUUCGUGAAAACUUGCAGAACCUGGAGAUGAUGGGUCUGUCUUAUCGAGAAGUCUAUGCGAAGCUGUUCCCAUACAGACACAUUUUGGGAUUGUGGCAGCUAGAUAAUGAGUACUACAGAACACUAGUGAAUGUAGUGGUGGACGGCUUAUGCAUUACUGGUUGGAAAUACAGGCCUUCCCUUCACACCCAUGUGGGUGGCCCAAUACAUUUCAAGCCCUCGUUCAGAAUUCGCCUGAAGGAGAGGAAAUCAGCCACGGUGGAGUGCAUGGCAGGCAUCAACAGCAGGCCCCACAACUGCCACAUGCAGAUUGAGAAGGACAGGUUCACGACCCGGUGCAAGAACACAGACCACGGAACAGAUUUACCAACGUGGCUUAGGGAAGAAGGGGGGCUGGUGCUGGAGGACAGACAGCAGUAUGACUGGCUGACCUACCGCCGCCUCUAUCUCCCGCCGAGCCACCCGGACGACCUCAUCAGGCCAGGCCUCUUCCAAUACUACUACGAUGUCUUCGGCCUAAUGAUUGCCAUGCUCAGCUUCCAUGGGAAGUAUGCCAGGGUCACCAAGAUCACGGGAGUCUCCAAGAAGACGUUAGAGAUCCACCUCAUGCGCAGCAUCCAGCUGCGAGAUGGCGAGAUCUUCCGCAACUUCAAUGAGCUCUCCCGCGUCGUCCAGGAGAUUGACGAGCAGGUGAUCCGGGAGCAGCAGCAGCAGCAGCAGCAAGAAGAUGGGACUGAGGAAAGCAAGGGCCAUGGCUGGCAGAGCCCUGCCCAGCCCAGCGUGGGGGAGUCCGGGGCUGCAGCUUCGGAGGAGCAGCCUGUCCGGUUUGUUCCGCCUGUGGGCAUGCGCACAAGAGACCAGAACUACCCCCGAACCUGCAGGAUGUGUUUCUAUGCCCUGGACACUGUUACCUCAGAUGGCUCAUUCUACCCCGGGUGCUUCCCUGGAGUCUUCAUCCUGUUCGAUGAGAACCACUUCGGGUUCAUCUGGCUGGAGGCGAAAUAUUUCUUCCUGUGCGGCAGAGUACAGAACAGCUUCCAGAAUGUGGAGGCACCAUCCCCGCAGGCUUUCCUGGAGAUGCUCAAGAACAUUCAGUCCAUGCCCUAACCGGUUUGGCUCAGUGGAUAGAGCGUUGGCCUGCGG